rnacentral:misc_RNA from 1 species
UCCUGGUUAACCCAGGCAGUCUCGUUAGAGUUCCCAGCAUUACCUGAUGGCAACUAACGACAAGGGUUGCGCUCGUUGCGGGACUUAACCCAACACCUCACGGCACGAGCUGACGACAGCCAUGCAGCACCUGUGCAGCGGCCCCGAAGGGAGACUUAAUUUCUUAAGCUGUCCACUGCAUGUCAAGUCUGGGUAAGGUUCUUCGCGUUGCAUCGAAUUAAACCACAUGCUCCACUGCUUGUGCGGGUCCCCGUCAAUUCUUUUGAGUUUCACCCUUGCGAGCGUACUCCCCAGGCGGUGUACUUAACGCGUUAGCUACGGCACAGUCGGGGUUGAGUCCAACUACACCAAGUACACAUCGUUUACGGCUAGGACUAC